UUCUCUAAUGGAACAGAACUUGUAGAAUAUAUGAAUGAAUGUAUGAAGUAUAUGAAAAUGAAUAUAUGAAUGAAGAAUGAAUAUAUGAAAAAUCCUUCAGGAAAGUAACCUGGAUCUCACCAAGGGAACAAGCUGGUAAGCAGCUACUUAGGAAUCAAAUCUUUGCUGUCUGGACCUACUUUAGCUUAUAAAGCAGCUCCUCGGCACAGGACACCCACCUGAUUGAGACUGGAGGGAACAGACAGGCUUAGACUUGGAGCAACAUAUGGCACUUCAGAAUGAGACCAAGGAAGUAGGUGAAAGUAACACAGGAGGAUCAAAAGCCAAGAAGAAGAAAGCAGGGAACCAAAGGGAAGUAAUUUUGCAGAAGUGGGUAGAAGAUUUUUCAGCUAUUGCCAUAGAGUCUGAAACUCGUAUGAAGAGCCCUGGAUUCCAGCUGUCUCAUCAGGAGACUACUGUCCAAAGAAACAAUAUGUGGAGAAUUCUUCUAAUGUGCCAAGGUGUUGGGCAGUAUGGAGAAGUCUGAAGAAGGAGAAGAUGAGGUGAUGGCUGCCAAAUGUUUUGCCUCCAAUUCCUUCCUGGCCUAAGGAUUGAACAUGAAUAAAUAUGCAGCCUCCGCAAACCCAUCUCGGCAUCUGCUCCCAGAGAAGCCAGUCUGCAACCAUAUGAAGUUCCAGUGAACUCUAUUAUGCUUGCCUAUGUAGAGAUUGCUCCAUUGUGCUACCACUUAGGCUCACAAAACAGCUUCCUUGGUUGUUCCUGUCACCGAUCACAUGUUAUGGAUGUGUGAGCAUAGGCUCAGAGACAGCAAUGACAAGCUCUAAGUCACAGCAAGUAUCUCAAGGCUCUUUAUUUAGAGCUGGAAAGGAGGCUAGGUGUUACAAAAACUCCUGCUUAGUCUGUUAUUUGUUUAGAAAUGGGGCCACUGUACCCUAGACUACACUCAGGUGUGAACAACAAGAAGAACUAGCUAAUGUAUGAUGCCUUCAAGACUGAUAGCAGUUCCUGUCAUUUGGGAUAUGAACUCCAUCAUGUUGUUGGACAAGAUACUUUGCUCGGAGUCAGACAAGUAUGCUAAUAACCAGAGAGUGAGAACUCUUCUGAUAAGAUUAGAGAAAAGACUUGGCAUCUGGAUAUUAAUUUUUGUGUAAGUUCCUUCAACAUAUACACUGAGAGCCCACCUACUGCAGAUUUGGUGAGGAGCUAUGUGGACUCAACAGCUCUGUACACACAUUCCUGGAAGGCAAGAUGGCAGCCAAGAAAAUUAUAAGAAAACAAGAUUCAAUCUCCCAAUCUCAUCUCCAACUCUAUAGCAGACUUUCUGGGAUGACCUCUCUUUACUCUCAACCCCAAUUCCAAGGAGACUAGGUAAGCAUAUCCUGGUGAAACCCUUUGCUUUCCUCCCUCCUGUGAAACCCCUCAGACCUCUAACCUAUCCUCAAUACUCUCAGCUCCCAGUAACUAGAAAUAUAAUUUACCUGGACUCCCCAGUGGCCACACCUAUCAGGUCCACAGAAAUUUUUCUACCAGGCAACACACAGAAACCACACUCUAGUAAAAUCCAGAGAGGAAAUAGAAACCAAGGAACAACAACAUAACAAAAAGACAAAACACAACAAAGACAACCAGAUAUCAGCACCUAGGCCUAUGAUCUUCCCAAUCUCAGACUGCUCGAUAUCAGCAUAAAAUAAUAAAUAACAGACAGGAUAAUAUGUCGCUGCUAGAGCUCAGCAACCCUACCACAGCAGGCUCUGAAUAUUCCAACAUAACUGAAGCACAAGAAAGACCUAAAAACAGCCUUUGUGAAUAUUAUAGAGUGCUGCAAGCCACAGGAAAAUGCAAUGGAAUUCAGCUACUAUCACAAAAGCUACUACUUAGAAAAGUCAAGAACUUUUCCUAAGAUCAAGCCAUGGCUUAAGAAGUUUUGGUGAUAUUUUAGCUUUUGUAUAUGUAUUAACUGGUUCCUAUAAUGAUUUUCUUUUGUGUUUCCAAGAACUCCUAACAAUGUAUUUUUCUAAAAUACCUAUCAAGUAUCCAAGGCUGAACAAUCUUCUGAACUAAGGUAAUACC